rnacentral:rRNA from 1 species
GAUGAACGCUGGCGGCGUGCCUAAUACAUGCAAGUCGAGCGGCAGCACGGGUGCUUGCACCUGGUGGCGAGUGGCGAACGGGUGAGUAAUAUAUCGGAACGUAUCCAAUAAUGGGGGAUAACUAGCCGAAAGGUUAGCUAAUACCGCAUACGCCCUGAGGGGGAAAGCUGGGGAUCGUAAGACCUAGCGUUGAUGGAGCGGCCGAAAUCUGAUUAGCUAGUUGGGGGGGUAAGGGCUUACCAGGGCGUGGAUCAGAAGCUGGUAUGAGAGGACGACCGGCCAGACUGGAACUGAGACACGGUCCAGACUCCUACGGGAGGCAGCAGUGGGGAAUUUUGGACAAUGGGGGCAACCCUGAUCCAGCCAUUCCGCGUGAGUGAAGAAGGCCUUCGGGUUGUAAAGCUCUUUCGCAAGGGAAGAAAACUCGAUCUCUAAUAUAGGUUGAGGCUGACGGUACCUUGAUAAGAAGCACCGGCUAACUACGUGCCAGCCGCCGCGGUAA